UACGAAGGGGGCUAGCGUUGUUCGGAAUCACUGGGCGUAAAGGGCGCGUAGGCGGGCUCUUAAGUCGAGGGUGAAAUCCUGUGGCUCAACCACAGAACGUCCUUCGAUACUGGGAGCCUGGAGUUCGAGAGAGGUUGGUGGAAUUGCGAGUGUAGAGGUGAAAUUCGCAGAUAUUCGCAGGAACACCAGUGGCGAAGGCGACCAACUGGCUCGAUACUGACGCUGAGGCGCGAAAGCGUGGGGAGCAAACAGGAUUAGAUACCCUGGUAGUCCACGCCGUAAACGAUGGAUGCCAGCUAUCGGCAGGUUCGCCUGUCGGUGGCGCAGCUAACGCAUAAGCAUCCCGCCUGGGAAGUACGAUCGCAAGAUUAAA
rnacentral:rRNA from 1 species